rnacentral:rRNA from 1 species
AGCGAACGUUAGCGGCGCGCCUAACACAUGCAAGUCGCACGAGAAACGGAGCAAUCCGCGGUACAGUGGCGCACGGGUGAGUAACACGUGGAUGACCUUCCCUGGAGUGGUGGAUAACCUGCCGAAAGGCGGGCUAAUACAGCAUAGGACCACGACGCUUUGGCGAUGUGGUGAAAGCGGGCCUCUAUAUAUAAGCUCGCGCUCCGGGACGGGUCCGCGUCCCAUCAGCUAGUUGGUGAGGUAACGGCUCACCAAGGCAACGACGGGUAGCUGGUCUGAGAGGAUGGCCAGCCACACUGGAACUGAGACACGGUCCAGACUCCUACGGGAGGCAGCAGUGGGGAAUCUUGCGCAAUGGGCGAAAGCCUGACGCAGCGACGCCGCGUGGGCGAAGAAGGCCU